AACAAGACGCGGCACGCGCUCUGUCUAGAUGAUCUAUCCCUUCUGAAGUUGUGUCAUCAGCCUCGCAGACCAGUGUGAAGUUCUGCUCGUCCACAGAUGUCCGAGAGGAGUGCCCCAAAUCUGACAACCCUUUUCAGCAAGAAACAUGCAGAAAAAAAGACUAAAAAACUUCAAAAGGCUUUGUGUGACUAUCUUUACAGCGGGCUGGACUAAGAACAACGAAUCACAGACGACAAAAAGAAAACCAGCAGUAUGAGCAUCUCUCCGUGAUGAACUGAACAACUUCCAUGCACACUUUGAGAUCCACUCUCCGGCUUUUUGCAUACAGGCCAGUUAGAUCUACUGACAACACCAUCUCCCUCUCCCUCAACACUGCCCUCUCCCACCUGGACCAGAGGAACACAUAUGUGAGAAUGCUGUUCAUCGGCUAUAGUUCAGCAUUCAACACCAUUGUGCCCUUUAAGUUUGUCACCAAGCUUCGAGACCUGAGGUUCAACACGUCUGUGAUUGAUCUGGUGGAGCUCUACACCCAGCAAUGUAAGAAGAAGGCCAACAGGAUUAUCAGAGACCCAAAUCAUCCCAGCCAUUAACUGUUCUGCCUGCUGCUGUCCGUCAGACGGCACCGAAGCAUUCGGUAGCACAAUAACAUACAUUGCCACAGCAGUGACAUGUUUGGAAGUCUGGGGGUUUUCCCGGCUCGUGCUGUGUCCUUGAUGCUGUGAAUUUGUUUUGACACUGAUCAUGACAGUGGUUCUGAAGGUUGUUUUUCUCAUGAGGUUGAGUACUGAUGUUAACUUUUCUUUAAGGAUGGCCUUCACAGAGUUAUAUCUCCCUAAUCUGACCAUUCUACCCAUUGCCAGCUGGGAGAAGAUGACUCGGCGUUGGAGGCAGCCUUCUGUCACUCUGACACUUAAAUACAGUCGUAUUUCAUGAGCUUUAUCAGAUUUAGAUGUAUUGUCCCAGAUGGAUAUUUGUUUCCACAGUCAGUGCAAAUAGCAACAUAUAGAUACACACAGCCACAUACAAAUAUAGUCAGUACACAAAAUCUCAAUCAAUGCAUUCAUCUACCCAGCUCACAACAGUGUCAGCGAGGCAGAUUGUUCAGGGCUGCUAUUGCAGUGUCUCUUAAAAUAUGCUGGCAUUUGUCCUGCAGCUCUCCCAUAAAAGGUGAAGGCUUCUCUUAGUUGGUGGAACCCUUCAAAUAGCUUGCAACACCAAGACUCCAUGUGAGGUAACUAUCAUACAACAGAAGUUGUUCUUGCCAUGGAAGAGCUUACAAAAUUUGUAGAAUAAGCUUAUUUGGCACUCUCUUGUCAAACAGUUUACAUAUUGUUGGUCAGCCCCGAGACUGCUCUGAAAAUCACAAUGUGAACAACAGUUAAGAUGUUGCUGUUUGUGUUUUUGUCUUGUUGUCUUGUCUGUUGACAGCUACUGACUUCAAGCAAUACUAGAAUAACUACAGCGAACCUGCUGAAGCAAAGUGCUUUAGACAGUCAACUCUUUAAAACAUAUAACAUAGAAGUCUAGAGACAAGGGUUGCAAAAGGUACAUUUUCCAAGGGAAGCUAAGCUUGUGAAUUUUGGAACAAUUGAACAAUUCCAAUAGUUAAAGAUAAUUAUGUAAUAUGUCUGCAUUAAAAUAUCUAAAACUACUAUACCUAUUACUUGAAUUGUAACCAUGCUCUGCAUUCAGCAGCACACUCUUUCAUCACAGCAAAGUGCACGGUUUAUAAACUUUUAACACAUUCUGAUAGUUUUUGCUAGGUAGCUGGGGGAUGUACCUUAAUUGGAUGUUCACUUUAAAUCCAAAGUUUGCACAUGGCCUACAUUGUCGGCUCAAAUUAGAAAAGUACCUUUCCCCAUUAGUUAACUUGCUAGCUAACUCACCACAAAGCACAUUUCACAUUGUAUGUAUAUGACAAACUGAUGGGUUUUUUUUAUUACAAAAAUGAACAAAGGGCUUAUUCUUCAGAGAGUUAAUUGAUUGAUAAAUUGAUUAUUUCAUUUCUAUUAUAGAAGGGUUUAAAAUUAUGUCUAUUUAUCAUAUGGCGAAAGGUUUGUUUCCAUCUGCAAAUGUAAAAACAGCUUGUGCAUAUUACUCAAACAUAACCCAUAUAUUCCAUACAUUCUCUAUUCCUGUUAUUUCCAGUUAAUUCCCAUAAAUUGCUUUUGGAUCCCAUGGAAUGUUUCCACCUUCUCAAAAAAUACUAUAUAUUAUAUACAGUUUUAAAUGUUAUCCAGGAUGAUAUGGUCAGCUAAGGCUCUGCUGCACAGGCAUCUUACUAUACGUCUUUGUGCUAGCACCAAAACAUGAGCUGCCCAAUCAAUCAAAAUCUUCUGAGACGCAACUCCAAUCUGAAAAAUCUUACUCACGUAGACACAGCAGCUUGUUGCUUUUCAUUGUAUUUUCUUGCAAUCCAUCACUGAACUAUUCAAGUGAAAACCAUCAGAAAAAGUAAAAUCCAAUGGCCAGCAUGCACUCGUUCAGAUAAAGAUGUAAAUGCAUGUUGUUGCACAUCAACCCUCUUUGCCUUCUUAUGUUUCCAUCCAGUUGUUCUUUGAUCUCAACUAUCCAAUAAAGCCAAAAGCCCUGUUCUUGAGUACACUGAA